GGGUCACGUACUGGUGAGAGUGAGGGUGAACUGAUCCCAACUCAGUUUGUGGCAGUGUGAUGUCAACAGAAUGGCAUGUGGUCAGAGGUUGUGGUGAACUGGAUAGCUGUGCUGCAGGCUGCCUGCAGAGCAGAGAUGUAGAGGACCUGAGUCUGAGCUCCAACCCAGAGCUGUGCGGUCGAGUGCCUGUCAGGACCACAGUACUCUUCAUGACAGACUGGAUGUAGUGGAGAAGCGUGUAGAGGACACAGUCCAGAAGCUGGAGGAUGAGCUGGCUGUGCUCCUGGAUGCCAUAGAGGCCCCUGAGUGGAGCCCCCUGCUGGAAACUGCUGGAAAACCUGUGGUGGACAUCCUGGAUGGCCAGGGACUGGGAGAAGGUGGCGACUCCUGAGAGAGGAGAGCAGAGAUCGCUGUUGAGGGGCUAUGCUACUUCACUCUGCCCUGAUGAGAGUGCACCUGGCAAGGACAGACAAUGAAAGAUACUUGAAUGUACAAUCUUUGUUUUUCUGGACUUGAAAGUGUACACAAACUGUAUAAAACAAGCCCUUUGAUGAGUAAACACAGGCUUAGUAUGUAUUCUGUGCAACAGUUGAUAGAUCACGACACUAAUGCUUACUUGACUGCAUAAUACACUCCUCUAAUCCUCAGACACUCUCAUCCUUUCUUCUUAGACUAAACCGGAAUCCCUACACACAAGGGUAACUGUCUCAGCCUCUCAGGAUGGCUACAGUUCUAAACAAUUGAUACGUUGGUUUUUUAUCUAGUAAUGUAUUCUGUUCUGUGUGGGAUUGUGUCCCUUUCUCGUCCCAUGCCUCUGUUCCACCCCCUGGUGCCAGUUGAGAGCUACACAUGUAGCACCGAGCCACAAGGUAGGCCGUGCCCUUUACCACAGAUCAAGAAUCAGGUUACACAACCCCUAUCCUAAACCAUUAGGGAGGCUUGAAAUAACACCCAACCUUGUAUCAGUGGUUAAGGGCAACUAAUAAUCUCAAUGUGAAUGAAUGAUGAAAACCACUAGAGAGUACUGGAAGGAUUUUAUUUAUCAAAGCAGCUAAAGCAACAUGUUUCAAUACACAGAGCAGUUUGAAUAGGUACAGUACAUGGCUUCCACUGAGACCCAGGCUAGUUGCAUUUUUAUUUAUUUUAGUCCCCAUAAAAAUCUUACAGAACAUGUUCAAAAUCGAAAACACAAAGAGAAGAGUGGUCAUAGAUUUUGUUUUCUCAAAAAUGGACACCACAAUACUAAAAUGUUGCUACAAAGAUAAGACAGUAAUAUUAUCUGUGAGAGCUUUAAUCCUUAACCAGUUGAUGGGAAAAGUACUGUGGUAAUUGGUCACUCGUUCUAUCACAAUGCUGUUUGAAACACCCAGGUAAAUAUACUUACAAUUUUAUCCAAUAAACUAGCAUUGUAAACACAAUGGUACAAACAUAUUAAAGAUUUUUUUUUUGGGGGGGUUAGGCAAGCAACAUCCAAUCAGGAAUGGAGAUGCAUUUGAAAUGAUAUCAAGGGAAUGACAUUAGGCUACAAUAUUGUUGAACUUAAAUAAACUACAGAGCAGGGCUUCCAUUAAAAUCAAUGACUAUUCAUUACAAGAAAUCAACACAAUUCCAUGGCCAUUUCUAGCACUGGAGACAUUCAGUCAAGCUUUUUCACCUAGUCGUCAGUAGUGAGGACAAUGUAAAGACAUGUCGAAGAGCAGUAUUUAAGACUUUUCACAUAGCUAAGGGCAGACUCACACAAUGCCCCAAACCCUUGGCCCUUUCCCAUAUACAUAACAAAGCACAGAAAACCUAAACAUACCCACAUUGGAGCAUAGGAGGGCAUAGAUACUGACUUAUUCAAUCAUCCACUUAAAGAAAAGCCUGUGCACUUGAACAUAUUCUUAAGACAAUCUAUGGGAUGCCAAAAGUCACUGCAUACCAUCUAAAAUAUCAUGGCAUCCAUAUAACACUGGGAAUAAAUGAUUUGUAUAGUCGUAGGUCUUAAAAUCAGUUUUUAAAAAGCAAACCUAGACAUCACAUAGACAGGCAAGCAGGACAGGGCUACACUGAUUAUAUGAGGCCUCUCCUCUGUCAAUCAUCAGAACACAGGUGAACAUCAAGGAAUUCUACUGCCUGAAGCUUGCAUGUGCACAUACUGUAAGCCACACAAACCCUAGCGGUUGGCUCUCCUACAAGAUCUGCUUUAAAACUGUAAAUAGAGGUACAUGCAAAAAUGCAGGGUUCGAGACGCUAUCGGGGUAACUAAUGAGCUUAUUUUCACAGGAAGUCAGAUAUUUAUUUUUUUACCCCCAUAUAAUUGAACAAUAUUUUAUUUCCCCCCAACAAAAAACAUUCCUUUAUAUUUAAUCACAAUAAAUGUUUGUAUACAAAUGAUAGUAUUUUCACAGAAGGAACAGUGGUUCUAUGCGCUACAGAGAGGAAACAUACGUUCACACACAAAGUUCUUAGAAAUGGCUAUGCAAAUGGUAGAAAAGCUUUGGCAUAUCUGCCUACAAGUUGUGCCUGCACACUUGGAAAUAAAAUGAGUACAACAGUGUAUGAACGUUUGGCUUCAUACUGCUCUCCAUUUACUAACAUGUAUGUUUAGUAAGCAGUCCCACAUAGAACUGUGGAGAGUUAGGUUAGGCUAUUUACACCUUACUUUGUUAGGCCUUAGGGUUUUAAGGUGGACGAUGCUACAUGUUCCCAGAUGUCCAGGCUGAGACGAAUGGCACCACCUUAAAAUGUACCACUAUCCCUAUUAGGUGACCGUUUCAACCACACAACUAAUAAUACUGCCCCAUGAUCAUUUUUCAUAUGGGAGUGAUCGAGACAAUCAUAUGAGAGACGAUUGUUCAAAUGUCACGGUCAUCUUAGUCUAAUAAGGGACGAUGUUCAACUACGACACUCUUCUGUAGCUAUUCAAUAGAAGUUGAUCAUGUCUGAUCCAUGGGAAAAAGAACAGACUAGAACAGGAAAAGCCUCCCCAAGACCAGGUCAAUUUAACUAAACCCUUAUGGGGUACACUCAAUAUGAUUCUUCUUCUAUGGUCGGAUCCCCUGGCGGUGACAAUGUUUAACGUAUAAGAACUCAAGCAGUAUGAGCAUGUAACCCACAGUGGAGCAGUGGGAUAAUAGAACCGCAUCUUGGCUACAGUCACAGAGGUCGACGGUGAGGGAAACCUUCCAUUUACACCACAGAUGUACUAAGUCCCUCUAACUGACAGGGCGUUUGAAAAAAAAAAACGAACAAUGUCUGGAAGAAGGUUCCGUUGGAGGAGCGUAAUCGCCCGUAGUAAUAAUCAAACCAGCAUGCCGAUGCAUAAUAUAGUCACAACUAACGCGUAAUGAAUGGCUAUUGAUUAACAAUCAACACCACUUAAAAAUGGUACUACGUUAUCAGAUUGAACGAGUGAUUUAUUUUAAAUGGUAAAAUCUCCUUGUCCCGAAUGGCCCAUACUGUUAUUGCAUGUAUCUAUUAGAAGACUCACUUACUGUGACUGGAAAACAACAUUUACCCUCCUCUAAAAGUCUCUUUCCACUGCACUACCUUAGGAAUAGAAUUACAUAGAACAUAGUAAUAUAAUAGUUAUUCUAUGUCUAUGUGCACUGCACUGUAUAUUGGCAUUGUGAUACUUGAACAAUGAUAUACUAUAAUUGAAAUGAAAGGCAUUUGGAGAAGGUAACCGGGCAACAGUAAUAGCCGUUCAGAAUAGGAGGACUGCACAGAGAGUAGGAGAGGGAUUGCACGAGCUACACAGGCAACUGUCUAACUCAGUUGAAUAAUUCAGUAUGUGAGUUUGCAGAGGUAGCUACAUCUACUCGAGGCUAAAAGAGCGGGAGCGCAAACAAAAGACAAAUAUUUAAAAAGAAACUCUUAAACCUGGCUCCUAAUUUCUCUGUAUGUUGUCAUGCUCAUAUAUCGUGUGGCUUCUGCUGCUUGUUAUCCCCUCUUGUAGUGAUACCUUACUUUCAUGCUAUACGUUGCAUAGAAAUGAGUUAGAGCUUAUUCUAGGGUGCGGAGGGCGGGGCCACCCUGUAACCCUGCAGUUUCAUUCAUGCCUUAACGGUGGAUGCUACAGAAGAAGAAAUAGGAGAGCCAUUUUGUGUCCUGCUGUGCGUUGUUGUCCUGCUGUGCCUUCCAGUUCCUCCAGUCAUCAUGGCUACAUAGGAGAGGUUAGAGUAUCUAUAGGCAUGGUUCCACACACACACACACACACAGCAGCCUGAGAGACCACCAGGUGGUGGUGUGGUGCUAGCAGCUGCCAGGAGAGGAGCAGACCGAGCCACACAUGCUUAGUUUGGAGGAGGACUCGGGUUCAGGAUCCUCAUCCUCUGUGCCUCCAUCAGCCUCCCCGGAUCCGUCUCCAUCACCAUCAUCACCCCCCUCGGCAGCUCCUUCAGACUCCCCUCCCUCUGCACCCUCCUCCUGCCUCUUUUUCAACCUGAGAGACAUACAGAAACAGUUCAAAGUUUGGACACACCUACUCAUUCAAGGGUUUUUCUUUAUUCUUACUAUUUUCUACAUUGUAGAAUAAUAGUGACGACAACACAACUAUGAAAUAACACACAUGGAAUCAUGGAGUAAACAAAAAAGUGUUGGGGGUCA
ensembl:lncRNA